AUGGUGGGGGUUGAAAUAAGCGAUUGUUUCCGGCAUCUUAUUGACCGGGUAUGCCAGCGCCUCAAAUGUUGGAAGGUGAAAGUUCUGUCUUUGCAGGGCAAGGAAAAUUUACUAAAAUCGGUAGCCCAAGCAAUACCAUCUUAUGCAAUGCCCGUAUUCAAACUGCCUAAAGGAAUUUACAAAACAAUCACUGAUGAGUUGGAUGGAUUUUGGUGGGGUGACAAUGAGGACAAGAAGAAGAUGCAUUAGUUCGCAUGGUGGAAAUUAUGUGUACCGAAGAAGAAAGGGGAAUUGGGAUUUAGAGACCUUCACAGUUUUAACCUUGCUAUGUUAGCAAAACAGUGUUGGCGACUGGUCCAGAACCCUGACUCCUUAUGUGCACGCGUUUUGAGUGAAAAGUAUUAU
rnacentral:rRNA from 1 species